ensembl:snRNA U6 U6 spliceosomal RNA
GUGCUCCCUUGGGCAGUGCAUACAUUACAAUUAGAACACUACCGAGAAGAUUAGCAUCAUGCAAGGGAGACAAGUAAAUUCGUGAAGUAUUUCAUAUUUUU